UACGUAGGGCGCAAGCGUUGUCCGGAAUUAUUGGGCGUAAGAGCUCGUAGGCGGUGUGUCGCGUCGGCCGUGAAAACCUGCAGCUUAACUGUGGGCUUGCGGUCGAUACGGGCAUCACUGGAGUUCGGCAGGGGAGACUGGAAUUCCUGGUGUAGCGGUGAAAUGCGCAGAUAUCAGGAGGAACACCGGUGGCGAAGGCGGGUCUCUGGGCCGAUACUGACGUGAGGAGCGAAAAGCGUGGGGGAGCGAACAGG
rnacentral:rRNA from 1 species